ACGGUUUCCCUAUCUCGCACGAUUAAAAAAAAAAAAGCCUAACACCACUAAACCUAAAAUGGCGGUCCUUCAUAAUCACAAUCGAUCGACUCUACUUACCUGCUUCCUUCUUUAUCAAUCUCAAUCGAUCGAUUUCUUCAACCAUCAAGCCUCUCACUACGACCGAUUGAUUCCUUCCACCAUCAAGCCUCUAAAUACGACCGCUCACAACCAGCAACAUCGUAUACAUCUAGACCUCCGCCUCAAGUAUCUUCGAUCGACGUGCACACCUUCCACACCCUCCAUCCGCCCUCCAGUGCGGUCACCGUCGGUGUCAGCCCUAAUUUUAGAGAUUCAUGUGACCGGACCGCCCUCAAUUGGGCUUCAUUUUAUGGCAGAGAGGAACACAGUGGUGGCACUGAUGAAAUUUGGUGCGUAUGCAGGGGUGGUUGAUGACCCAACACCUAUGAAUCCAGGUGGACAAAUGGCUGCUGAGAGCUCCAGAAUCAAAAGCAUUAGACUAAGCGAAAAGGGCUGGAAAAAUACCUACGCCAAGCAACUUGGAACACCGCCCCCUAGUGCACAUUAGGGGGCUCGCCACCGGAGACUCGUUAUCGUGCUGGCGAGAAGAGAAAGAAGGUGAGAAACUAAUGUUAUUGGUCCGUCAAAUCUAUUCAUCACUUUCACUCCAAGGGUAGAAUGGUGGAUCAGAGACCAAAGAACGAAGCUCUUGAAGGUUGCUGUUUUAUCUACCCUUGCUCUCUUGAGGGUGAUUGUAGCUGCUUCUUCAUCAACAGAGCAUGAAAAGUUCAUGUGAAGUGUAUCACAUUUUCUCAGACUGUUGGCAAUGCUUCUUUGAGAGAGUAUGUCUUAUUGUCUUAAUGUCUUAUGGUUUCAGAAAAAGUAGCAUAUGAAAGACAUAAAAAGAAAACAUAGUUGAUGGCAAUAAAAAAAAAGAUAAUUUUUGGUUGAUUGUAAACAUCAUUAAUAGAUGUUUGUUACGGAUUGUAUAUUAAAUUAUAUUGGGUUUAAAAAAAAUACAAUUUAAUUAUUUUUGAAAAAAAAAAUCAAAGAAAAAACUAUAGUACUAGGAGUGUUACCACUAAAAUUUGUCAAUUCGUUAUAUUCCUCUAAUUUCAAUUAAUUAACAAAGUAGGAUGUUAUUUGACAUAUGUAUUUGUCAGUUGAGCAAAGGAACGUGUAGUUUAAUCUUUGAAAUUUGUCAAUUUUUUACAUUCCUCUAAUUUCAAUUAAUUAACAAAGUAGGAUGCUAUUUUAACAUAUGUAUUUGUCACUUGAGCAAAGGAACGUGUAGUUUAAUCUUUAAAAUUUUUCAAUUUAUUACAUUCCUCUAAUUUCAAGAAAUUACCAAAGCAUAUCAUGUAAGUUUCCAUGUUUUGACAAAGUAGGAUGCUAUUAUGUCAUUUUUGUUACUUUCAGAAAGGAACAUGUAGGUUAAACUUUCGAAAAUUUCAUUUUAUUACGUUCCUCUAAUUUCAAGAACUAAACAAAGUAUAACAUGUAAGGUCGCAUGUUUUGACAAAUUAUAUAAUUGAUAAAGUAGGUUACAUGCAUACAAGAAACAACAAUGUACUUUCAUUUAUUUAAAAAUACAAUGCAAUAAUAGAAAACGAAUUAAAAGGACCAUUCUAUGUUUAAUUUUCAAAUUGAUGGGUAGUAUAUGAUGUCAAAUUGCUUACAAUUUUUUUUGUAUAUAUCCCAUGAUUUUGCAUGCUCUUCCCUCUUUAUAUUGUAGUACAUUUUUUUUCUUACGUUGGGGGUGGCAAAGAUGGAUACACAGAUGCUGAUAUUGAUGAAAUUCGCAAAGAAUGGUCUUCUUUUGUGGCAACCUGUAUUUUUUGGUGAUAUUAUGUACCAACAAACAAUAUUUUGGUAACUUAGAAAUUUUUAUUAGCAUUUCACAUAGGAUUUCUACAAUAUUUUUGAUAAAUUGUUAUUGCAUUUACAUAAUGCUGAUUUUGCUAUAAGUUUGCUUUGGAUAUAAAAAUUAAGUCAUUUUUGUAUGUAUUUGAACUAAUCGUGUCACCAUUUUUGGCUAUUGAUAUUUUUAUGGAGUUACUACAGGUGUUUUUAUGUA